GGUUUUAGUGCAUUUCUGGAUGGUGCCUGAAUGGUAUUGCAUGAAGCUUUUAUAAGUCUUGUCAUAGAAUUACAGUAAAGGAUAAAUCAGGGGUAGCUUGAUCAUAAGUUUCCAGCAAGGAAAAGGUAUCUUUUACUUGGUAAUAACCCCAGAUACUGGUUGGACCACCUUAUAGGUAAUGGCACCCAUGUCUUGGCCUCACAAGACUAAAGCUCUGUGGGGAAUGUCAAGAAACACUACAUUUUUAAAGGCAGGAGAAAAAAUUGGGUAUUAUGUUGAGCCCAUAUCAUCGGGAUCACCAGGAAGGUUAUCACGAACAGCAUGUUAUUUGCUCAAACAUCUGCAUCUGUCCCAGAAAUAAUGAAGUGCAUUGAGGACGAAAUCAGAGGGAACCUAGGCUGUUACAACCACAUCAGUAAAGCGCAAGCCAAUAAUGGACUUAGCCACUGUUGAAACAUAGAUCAGGAGAUUUUUAGCUAAACCCUAUGUUCUGCUUUUAACGGUUGUACCAUUUUGUAGCAGGUUCUAUUGUUCUGGGUAAAUGAAAUCUUAGGUUACUCCAAAAAAUGAAGUGUGCUACAAACUUUUGUUCCUCUAGUAAGCAAUUCGAUAAAAAAUACAGCCAACUGUUAUUGCUAUUGUUGAGAGGAUGGAAAAGUCCUAAUAACUAGAGACAAUUUUUUUGGCCAAACUAGAGACAAUACUUAGUCACCCUGUUUAUACACACCCAGAAAACUUCAGUGGUAGAACAGGCUGACUGUCUUGACUAUUUCAUACUGCAUAAGAAAAGACAAUUUUUUUAUGGAGACAUCGUCUCUUUCCUUAUUGGUGUAACGACCCAAAAUUUACAAUGAUCGGAAAGUGUAUUUUUGAGUCUUCGUUUUCGACAAACGGAUUCGUAAAUAUUUAUUAAAAAUAUUUACAAAGUUAGUUGUGUGGUUAAUUAAGUUUUGGCUAGGUGAAUUAGUUGAAAUUAAGAAUAAUUAGGUAUAAGAACUAAAUUGCAUAUAGAGUAAAAGUUGAAUUAUAGAAUAGAAAAAAGUUAAGGGACUAAAUAAAUGAAUAAACCAAAUUAUAACAAUUGUAUGAUAGUAAUAAUAUACACGUGUAAUAAAUACAUACAUUUGUAAUAUAUAUACUUACUUAUUAUUUAAAAAAAUAUUAUAUUAUAUUAUAAUUAAAGAAUAAAAGAAAUAAAUAGAAAAAGAGAGAAACAGAAACGAAAUAGAGAAAGAGUAGAAAGAAAAGAAGGAGAAUUAAGGAUUUUAGGGUUCAAACUCAAAUUGGUAAGUCAAUUUAGUCCCUUUUCUUGGAAUUUUUAUGUUUUUAGAGACCUAAAUUAAAAUACUACUUGAUUUAUGUUGAAAUUCUAGAAAUUAGUGAAUUUUUAGAUGUUAUUCAUAUUGAAUAAAUUGAAGUGUUAGGGGUUAAAUUGAUAAAAUUUCAAGUUAGAAUAGAGAAAAGGGAUUGAAUUGUAGAAUAAAUUAUAAGUUUUGAACAAUAAGGACUAACUUGUGAAAUUUUUGAAAUUGAGGUUAUAUGGUAAAUUUUGAGAGCUAAAAUUUGUUUAAAGUGGGAAUAGAAUGAAAAUAUGGAAUUAGUUUUAAAGAAAAUAAAAUUAGUCUUAGUUAGGGAUUAAAUUGAAAUUUAGGCAAAAGUUAAAUAGAAAUUGAAAUAUUCAAGGUGAAAUUGUGUGUAUUGAUGAUUUUAAAUAGUUUUAAUUUCGUAGCUAACAUUGAGCCGGCGACUUAGGCUAAGAAAGGAAAAGACAAGGUUAACGAGGAGUAACUCGGGAAUUACGGUUUGUAUUUCUAUAAUCCAAAUUUAAUAAUUAAUUGUUGUAAUUAUUAUUUCAUGUGUACAGUAAAUGGAUAGAGGUGAGUAUUGGUAUUAUGGUAUUGAAAUGAAUUGAAUUGAAUUUAUGAGUAUUUGUGAGCAUUUGAAUUGAAAUGUAUAUAUUGUUUGGAAAUUGAAAAGUGAUUUAAAACCUUAUUAACUGUAUCGAGCUGAGUCGGAUAUAGUUGGCAUGCCAUAGAAUUGAAAGUAUUCAGGGAUUACUUCGACUUCGAGUCGAUGAGACACAAAGUGUCAAACUAUUAAAUUCGAUGAGGUACUGGGUACCAAUUUACUUUGAUUUAGCCGAUGAGACACUGGGUGUCAAUCUAUUAUUUCAAAUUAUCCGAUGAGGCACUAGGUGCCAUACUGGUGUGUUUUGGUUGGAUCUGUGUAUCCGCCAAAGUCCAAGUCUUAUUAAUAGGGGUGAAUAAAUAAUUUGGCAAUAUAAAUGAUAUUGAAUGAUUUUGAUUAUGAAAUUGAAAUAGAUAUUGAAUUAAAUUGUUUAAAUGGAAAACAUGAAUCAUGGUUUCAUGGAAAGAUUAUUGAUAUUGAUAGAUGAUUGUGAGAAUCAAGUUGAGAAAAGUCAUUGAGAUAGCUAUUGAUAAAGAUUGAAUAUAUGAUAAUGAUUUUUCUAUGAAUUGAUUAAUUGAAUGAUUAAGGAUUCUAGAUGAUUAAAAUAUUUGUGUUAUAUCAUUUUAUUUAAAGUUUUCGGAUUAUAGAAAUACCACUGAGCAUGCACAGCUUAGGUUAAAGUCGAAAUGCCAAAUCAGCAUCCAAAGCCGAUCCAGAACUCAAAGUGAAGUAAUUUUUUUUUUUGUAAUGGCAUAUACCUAGGAUGUUUUAUAUUGGUCAUUUUGAGAAAAUGUUUGUAAAUGAUAUUAUAAAAUGAUAUUUGGUUGGUUAUAUAUAUAAAUAUAUGUUAUGUUGAAUUAACAAUGUGGUAUUUUUAAGUGAAUGUGUAAAUGAAUUUGAAAUAGGCAAAUAUUUCGGUUGAAAUGGCAUGAUAUUAAAUUUACUUAAAUGAAGUAUAAUUGAAUUGUUUUGAUAGAAAUAUGUGAAGUAUUUAUAUAGGCACAUUGGUUAGGCACUUAGAUUGUCUAUUUUGAUAUGAUUGAGUGUGUUUGAUUGUGUUUUGAAGUGGUUGAAUAAAUGGUUUUUGAAUUGCUUGGUGUUCAAGAUUUGCAGGGUCGAUAAACUUGGUGUAUAAGACUCAUUUUGAGUCCACACGGCCUGGCAAACGGGCGUGUGACCAGACCGUGUGAGAAACACGACCUAACACACAGGAAAGUGCCCUGCCCAGGUGAAAAUUGCACUGAAUUUUCGAACAAUAAAUUGACCACACGGCCUAUCACACGGGCGUGUGACUUGGCCAUGUGAGGUAAGUCAUGGAGUUACAUGGGAUAGGACACAACCUGAGGCAUGGGCAUGUUAUGGGGCCACACGGGCGUGUCCCUUAACCACACGGGCAUGUGUGCCCUGCACCUAGGAAAAAUUUUGGAAUUUUACGAAAAAUUCUCAGAGAACCCAAAUUAAUUCCGAUUUGUUGUUCAUACGUAUUUAUGGUCUCGAGAACCUAUAAAAAUGACAAUAUGAUUAAUUUAUGAAAUGUAUACUAAUUGAAUUGUUUAAUAUUGUAAUCGUUCUGAAAGGUCCGGUAAUGCUAUAUAACCCUAUUCUGGCGACGGAUAAGGGUUAAGGGGUGUUACAGAUGUGACUGAGACCAACAGAAAUCCAGAACAAAGAUGAGUGGGAGAAAAAGGCAAACAAGAACACCAGCAUAAUAAACCGAAUACAUAAAGUCUCACACAAAUACAUCUAAAUAAAGCUUAGCAACAGUCACUUACAGUUCCACUCGAUGUUUUUCCCUUCAAGGUAGCUAGCUUCCGCUCAAAUGAAUUGCCAUGCAUCUGCAAGGCAGUAACUGAAUUAAAACUUUAAACUUAAC
rnacentral:lncRNA from 1 species